GGUUCUAUGGUCUAGCAGUUAGGACAUUGGACUCUGAAUCCAGUAACCCGAGUUCAAAUCUCGGUAGAACCU
rnacentral:tRNA from 2 species